rnacentral:rRNA from 1 species
CUGGAAAUAGCUGGUUCUCGCCGAAAUAGCUUCAAGGCUAGCCUCGGAGCGUACCCCGCGGGGUAGAGCUACUGGAUGGGUCCUUCCGGCUUUGUGCCGGAGUAUCCAACCAAACUCCGAAUACGCGAGGGGAGACUCCGAGAGUCAGAACAUGGGGGCUAAGCUCCAUGCUCAAAAGGGAAACAGCCCAAGACCGCCGCCUAAGGUCCCUAAGUGCGGAUUUAGUGGCAAAGGUUGUGGAGGACCACAAACAGCGCGGAUGUUGGCUUAGAAGCAGCCAUCAUUCAAAGAACGCGUAACAGCGCACGCGUCGAGGUUCUCUGCGCCGAAAAUGUAACGGGGCUAAACCGCCACCGAUGGCGCGGACACUGGUACAUUCGUACCGGUAGUGGUAGGCGAGCAUUCCACUCAGCGUAGAAGCUUCAGCCGCGAGGCGGAGUGGAGCGUGUGGAAGAGAGAAUGCUGGCAUGAGUAACCUGACAUACCGUGAAAACCGGUAUCACCGAAAGUCCGAGGUUUCCUGGGCAAUGGCGAUCAACCCAGGGUUAGUCGGUCCUAAGACGAGGCCGAAAGGCGGAGUCGAUGGACAGCAGGUUAAUAUUCCUGCACUUCUGUAUAGUUGCAUGGGGCACACGUUGUGUGUAGUUGGCACGGGCUAUGGAAUGUCCGUGGGGGCGUAUCAAGUGGCAUCUCAGGUAAAUCCGGGAUGCUGCCCUUUUACGAGGGCAACACGAAAUGCGAUCCACCUCCAAUCCUACGGGUGAGGAGCGGCCAAUGAGGCACAGCGGCAAGAAAACCCUCGUUUGCGUUAACUAUACGGAAUCCGUACCGCAAACCAACACAGGUGGACUGGUGCGUAAUGCACCGAGGUGAUCGGUAGAACCCUCGUUAAGGAACUCGGCAAAACAGCGGGCGUACCUUCGGUAUAAGCCCUGCCUGUAGUACGGCGUCGGAUUUCCGACGUUUGAAUCAGGCCGCAGCGAAAGACUCCUGGCGACUGUUUACCAAAAACACAGGUCCCUGCUUAACCCGUAAGGGGAUGUAUAGGGGCUGACGCCUGGCCAGUGCCCGUCAGUUAAUCCGCGAGGUUGGUAGCUUCGCGUCUAAGCUCGGGUGAACGCCGGCGAUAACUAUUAACGAUAGUAGUUUAAAAAUUCGGCUGUAUGCUGGAAACUCCGAGUAUCUCGCGCUACGAUUUAUCGUAACAACGCGCGAGUGCGGACAAUCAGCAGGAAACCAAUAAAGGGAUCCUCAGAGACUAUACGCCGAACCCCGUUGAAAUGGGGAUGAUAUAGUCCGACCCCUAUGGCGACAUGGGGAGCACGGCAGAAAUGACCGUGCCACCUUAGACAAGGGAGUAACAACAGUGAAUCGUCCUAUGGUAGGAAUGCUGCCAUAGUAAAACUUGGCUAUAUGCUGGAAACCCUGAGUAUCCUGUGCUACAACAUAAAUAUGUGAUAUACUGAACAUAAUAAGAACAGUUAUCCACAUAUCAUGCGUAAAAAAGCAUCAGGUGCAGGCAAUCAGCAGGAAAGAUCACCUAUUGAAAUAAUAAUAUCUCCAAAUAUUGGAUGGUAUCUCUCUGGAUUCGCAGACGGUGAAGGAAGUUUCAAUGUAUCAACUAUAAAUCGUAAUCAAGACUAUCGUUCUGGGUGGAAGAUCGUCGCAACUUUUAACAUAUCUCAGCGCGAUCACUCAGUCCUAUACCUAUUUCAAAAAAAUCUUGGGUGCGGAACGAUACACGAUAGAAAAGACGGUGUUGGAUACUUCGACGUCCGACGAAUAAGCGAUCAUAUAAACAUUGUCAUUCCAUUCUUUGAAAGCUUCCCUGUUUUUUCUGAGUAUAAACAAAAGCAGUUCAAAAUGUUUCAAGCGGUGUGUAAAAUUAUGCACCGAAGAGAACAUCUAACUAAAGAAGGAAUGCAACGUAUUCUUGAUCUAAGAGAUACUAUUAUUGUUGGUAGAAAAAGAAAGUACUCGAAACGACAAAUAUUACAAACAUUUCAAUAGAUUGAAAUCCUCAGAGACCAUACGCCGAGCUUCAUCUCACAGAUGAAGAAGAUAUGGUCCCAUCUGCAUGGCGAC